rnacentral:rRNA from 1 species
UACGAAGGGGGCGAGCGUUGUUCGGAUUUACUGGGCGUAAAGGGCGCGCAGGCGGCUUUGUUUGUCAGGCGUGAAAGCCCCGGGCUUAACCUGGGAACUGCGUUUGAUACGGCAGGGCUAGAGUUCGGGAGAGGAGAGUGGAAUUCCCGAGUGUAGAGGUGAAAUUCGAUAGAUAUUGGGAAGAACACCGGUGGCGAAGGCGGGUCUCUGGGCAACAACUGACGCUGAGGAGCGAAAGCGUGGGGAGCGAACAGG